AUACGUCUUGCGACUUGCAGAAUCCAGUGAAUCAUCAAAACUUUGAACGCAUCUUGCGCUUCCGGGAUAUGCCUGGGAGCAUGCUUGUCGGAGUGUCUGUU
rnacentral:rRNA from 1 species